AGCCGAGUUGGACUCCCAGAAGCGUUGCACUUUGCUGAAGGUGACAUUUGUGCAGUCGGAGAGGCCGCUCAGGAAGGUGGCAGAGGACUUCUCCGUAGGCGCCGGGGCCACCUCUUCUUCCAUGGCCGUCUCGGGGGCGUCGCUUUUGCCCAGCCGCAGGGACCCUGACUGCAGCUCAUUAUGCAACUUCACCGCAUCAACUGUCAGGUCGCUUUUUCCUGAAAAUAGGGGGCACCGGUGAGGCCCCCACCUCUAGCCGAACGUCCUUUUGGCCAGGAGCCACUCAUACGACAAAAACUAGCAGAGUCCAGGCACCCAAUUCGAGAGGCUGAUUCUGAACAUGGCCUGCCUUUUCAGCCCCCCAAACGCCUAGAACUCAGCAAACCCAGAGACGGAACCCUGCAGCGUUUCAACUUGGCCGAGACACCGGAAGGCAACUUCCCCGAGCGACCCAUGUCUUCUAAGCCGGGACCGAGCUCAAACACCGGCUACCAGGGCCCGGGAAACACGCGCAGGACCCACGUGGACCCGCGGACUGCUUCACUUCCUCUUUCUCUGAGAAAGUUCUCCUGGAAUGCAGAGUGAAGAGAGCACAAAGACUGAGGAAGUGUCACUGCAGAGAAAAGAACUCCGUGCUGACCCAGGGCCUGUACCUCCAGUCACGGAACGUAACCCAUCACCUGUGCACAGAGGCCACUCCUGGGACACAGGCUGAGAUCUGGGCCAGAUGGCUGCACAAAGGGAAGUGGUGGCCUGAGGAGGAAAAGGGAACUGAGUUUGAAAACUGUUGUAGACAGU